rnacentral:rRNA from 1 species
AUGCAGAAUUGGAAGAAGCUCAAGAGGCACAAGGAGAUGCAGAAUUGGAAGAAGCUCAAGAGGCACAAGAAGAUGCAGAAUUGGAAGAAUCUCAAGAUGCACAAGAAGAUGCAGAAGUGCAAGAAGCUCAAGAGGCACAAGAAGAUGCAGAAGUGCAAGAAGCUGAUGCACAUGGCAAUCCAAGAGGGAAGGACUUGA